rnacentral:sRNA from 1 species
CCUAAUAUAAAAUAAAAGAUUUCAUUUUCUUACGAAAGGAAUGAAAUAAAUGGGUAUCAUUGUCUGCCAAGCAUGCAAUGAAACGAUUGAUUAUUUUGAAGAUGAGAAGGUCACGACACUUUAUUCCUGUUGCUGUGACUGCGGAAAAAAAGAGGAAACAACAGUCGCCACUGCCAUUUAAGGAAGCAGCCCCGGGUAUGCUUCCUUUUUU